UACGUAGGGUGCAAGCGUUGUCCGGAAUUAUUGGGCGUAAAGAGCUCGUAGGCGGUUUGUCGCGUCUGCUGUGAAAACCCGAGGCUCAACCUCGGGCCUGCAGUGGGUACGGGCAGACUAGAGUGUGGUAGGGGAGACUGGAAUUCCUGGUGUAGCGGUGGAAUGCGCAGAUAUCAGGAGGAACACCGAUGGCGAAGGCAGGUCUCUGGGCCAUUACUGACACUGAGAAGCGAAAGCAUGGGGAGCGAACAGG
rnacentral:rRNA from 1 species